rnacentral:rRNA from 1 species
ACGAGUUUGCUCUUAUGAAGGUAGUGCUUGCACUACUUGAUUAAGAAUCCAAACGAGUGGCGGACGGGUGAGUAACACGUGGGUAACCUACCCUAAAGCGGGGGAUACAUUUGGAAACAGAUGCUAAUACCGCAUAACAAUAAGAAUCGAAUGUUUCUUAUUUAAAAGAUGGUUUCGGCUAUCACUUUAGGAUGGACCUGCGGCGUAUUAGCUAGUUGGUAAGGUAAUGGCUUACCAAGGCGAUGAUACGUAGCCGACCUGAGAGGGUGAUCGGCCACAUUGGGACUGAGACACGGCCCAAACUCCUACGGGAGGCAGCAGUAGGGAAUCUUCCACAAUGGACGAAAGUCUGAUGGAGCAACGCCGCGUGAGUGAUGAAGGGUUUCGGCUCGUAAAACUCUGUUGUUAGAGAAGAAAGAUAGUAAGAGUAACUGUUUAUUAUUUGACGGUAACUAACCAGAAAGCCACGGCUAACUACGUGCCAGCAGCCGCGGUAAUACGUAGGUGGCAAGCGUUGUCCGGAUUUAUUGGGCGUAAAGCGAGCGCAGGCGGCUAAUUAAGUCUGAUGUGAAAGCCUUCGGCUUAACCGGAGAAGUGCAUUAGAAACUGAUUAGCUUGAGUGCAGAAGAGGAGAGUGGAACUCCAUGUGUAGCGGUGAAAUGCGUAGAUAUAUGGAAGAACACCAGUGGCGAAGGCGACUCUCUGGUCUGUAACUGACGCUGAGGCUCGAAAAGCGUGGGUAGCAAACAGGAUUAGAUACCCUGGUAGUCCACGCCGUAAACGAUGAGUGCUAAGUGUU